rnacentral:rRNA from 1 species
UGGGGGAUAUUGCACAAUGGGCGAAAGCCUGAUGCAGCGACGCCGCGUGGGGGAUGAAGGCUUUCGGGUUGUAAACCUCUUUCGCUAUCGAACAAGGCCCGCUUAGGGUGGGUUGAGGGUAGGUGGAGAAGAAGCGCCGGCUAACUACGUGCCAGCAGCCGCGGUAAUACGUAGGGCGCGAGCGUUGUCCGGAAUUAUUGGACGUAAAGGGCUUGUAGGCGGCUUGUUGCGCCUGCUGUGAAAACGCGGGGCUUAACUUCGCGCGUGCAGUGGGUACGGGCAGGCUUGAGUGUGGUAGGGGUGACUGGAAUUCCAGGUGUAGCGGUGGAAUGCGCAGAUAUCUGGAGGAACACCGAUGGCGAAGGCAGGUCACUGGGCCAUUACUGACGCUGAGGAGCGAAAGCAUGGGUAGCGAACAGG